rnacentral:pre_miRNA from 1 species
UCUUCAUUUCACACACUCUCUCGCCUCUCUGACCGAUGAGAGAGUGUGUGAAAUGAAGAGA